rnacentral:lncRNA from 1 species
AUUAUGCAAUUACUAAUUAUGUAUGUUCUGGUUCACAACUCUUUUGAGUACUUUAAUCUAUAGGACGCUAUAGGUGAGAGUUGUAGUAUAGGUGUAAGCGUGGUGCUUAGAUCUAGAUUACUUGUGGAUAUCCCCUGUCUAGCUGGAUCGUGUGGUAGGCCGCGUAGGUGACAGUUACGUUGGUCCUCUGUAGUCCACCUCUCAUUAGCAGGACGGGUAGGGUUUAUCGGCCUAAGGAUAAGCAUCCUUUGUGGUGUACUCUUAUCACGUGGUUCGUCCC